rnacentral:rRNA from 1 species
AGUGAACGCUGGCGGUAGGCCUAACACAUGCAAGUCGAACGGCAGCACAGUAAGAGCUUGCUCUUACGGGUGGCGAGUGGCGGACGGGUGAGGAAUACAUCGGAAUCUACUUUUUCGUGGGGGAUAACGUAGGGAAACUUACGCUAAUACCUCAUACGACCUACGGGUGAAAGCAGGGGAUCUUCGGACCUUGCGCGAUUGAAUGAGCCGAUGUCGGAUUAGCUAGUUGGCGGGGUAAAGGCCCACCAAGGCGACGAUCCGUAGCUGGUCUGAGAGGAUGAGCAGCCACACUGAAAGUGAGACACGGUCCAGACUCCUACGGGGGGCAGCAGUGGGGAAUAUUGGACAAGGGGCGCAAGCCUGAUCCAGCCAUACCGCGUGGGUGAAGAAGGCCCUCGGGUUGUAAAGCCCUUUUGUGGGGAAAGAAAAGCAGCAGGUUAAUACCCCGCUGUUCUGACGGUACCAAAAGAAUAAGCACCGGCUAACUUCGU